rnacentral:rRNA from 1 species
AUGAACGCUGGCGGCGUGCCUAAUACAUGCAAGUCGAGCGAACAGACGAGGAGCUUGCUCCUCUGACGUUAGCGGCGGACGGGUGAGUAACACGUGGAUAACCUACCUAUAAGACUGGGAUAACUUCGGGAAACCGGAGCUAAUACCGGAUAAUAUAUUGAACCGCAUGGUUCAAUAGUGAAAGACGGUUUUGCUGUCACUUAUAGAUGGAUCCGCGCCGCAUUAGCUAGUUGGUAAGGUAACGGCUUACCAAGGCAACGAUGCGUAGCCGACCUGAGAGGGUGAUCGGCCAUACUGGAACUGAGACACGGUCCAGACUCCUACGGGAGGCAGCAGUAGGGAAUCUUCCGCAAUGGGCGAAAGCCUGACGGAGCAACGCCGCGUGAGUGAUGAAGGUCUUCGGAUCGUAAAACUCUGUUAUUAGGGAAGAACAGAUGUGUAAGUAACUAUGCACGUCUUGACGGUACCUAAUCAGAAAGCCACGGCUAACUACGUG